rnacentral:rRNA from 1 species
AGUGAACGCUGGCGGUAGGCCUAACACAUGCAAGUCGAACGGCAGCACAGUAAGAGCUUGCUCUUACGGGUGGCGAGUGGCGGACGGGUGAGGAAUACAUCGGAAUCUACUUUUUCGUGGGGGAUAACGUAGGGAAACUUACGCUAAUACCUCAUACGACCUACGGGUGAAAGCAGGGGAUCUUCGGACCUUGCGCGAUUGAAUUAGCCGAUGUCGGAUUAGCUAGUUGGCUGGGUAAAGGCCCACCAAGGCGACGAUCCGUAGCUGGUCUGAGAGGAUGAUCAGCCACACUGGAACUGAGACACGGUCCAGACUCCUACGGGAGGCAGCAGUGGGGAAUAUUGGACAAUGGGCGCAAGCCUGAUCCAGCCAUACCGCGUGGGUGAAGAAGGCCUUCGGGUUGUAAAGCCCUUUUGUUGGGAAAGAAAAGCAGCAGGUUAAUACCCCGCUGUUCUGACGGUACCCAAAGAAUAAGCACCGGCUAACUUCGUG